GCGCUGGUAGUUCAGUGGCUAGAAUUUCGCCUUGCCAAGGCGGAGACCCGGGUUCAAAUCCCGGCCAGCGCA
rnacentral:tRNA from 1 species